GGCUUCGCAGCGCGCACACGGGGAGCUUGCUCCCAGAGAUGCUGCGAGGAAAGUCCCCGUGCCUUGGUGCAGAGAGUGCGAGUGGAAGACCGCAGGGCUCGUGGCAGACCUCCAGUGGUGAUGCUUCUCGCGGAGCCUUGGUGGCGGGCUCGGGCACUUUGCAGCACCACAGACAUGCCGUGAGCGCUCAUGAUUGGAGCGCCAACAGAACAAGGGGCUCACUCUCC
rnacentral:RNase_MRP_RNA from 14 species